rnacentral:rRNA from 1 species
AGAGUUUGAUUAUGGCUCAGAUUGAACGCUGGCGGAAUGCUUUACACAUGCAAGUCGAGCGGCAGCGCGGGGCAACCUGGCGGCGAGCGGCGAACGGGUGAGUAAUGCAUCGGAACGUGUCCAUGUCGUGGGGGAUAGCCCGGCGAAAGCCGGAUUAAUACCGCAUACGCCCGAGAGGGGAAAGUGGGGGACCGCAAGGCCUCACGCGAUUGGAUCGGCCGAUGUCCGAUUAGCUAGUUGGCGGGGUAAAGGCCCACCAAGGCGAUGAUCGGUAGCUGGUCUGAGAGGAUGAUCAGCCACACUGGGACUGAGACACGGCCCAGACUCCUACGGGAGGCAGCAGUGGGGAAUUUUGGACAAUGGGGGCAACCCUGAUCCAGCCAUUCCGCGUGAGUGAAGAAGGCCUUCGGGUUGUAAAGCUCUUUUGUCCGGAACGAAACGGGUAACGUGAAUAUCGUUGCCUACUGACGGUACCGGAAGAAUAAGCACCGGCUAACUACGUGCCAGCAGCCGCGGUAAUACGUAGGGUGCGAGCGUUAAUCGGAAUUACUGGGCGUAAAGCGUGCGCAGGCGGUUUUGCAAGCCGGAUGUGAAAUCCCCGGGCUUAACCUGGGAAUGGCAUUUGGGACUGCAAGGCUGGAGUGCGGCAGAGGAGACUGGAAUUCCUGGUGUAGCAGUGAAAUGCGUAGAUAUCAGGAGGAACACCGAUGGCGAAGGCAGGUCUCUGGGCUGACACUGACGCUCAUGCACGAAAGCGUGGGGAGCAAACAGGAUUAGAUACCCUGGUAGUCCACGCCCUAAACGAUGUCGACUGGUUGUUGGGGGUUUGACACUCUCAGUAACGAAGCUAACGCGUGAAGUCGACCGCCUGGGGAGUACGGCCGCAAGGUUAAAACUCAAAUGAAUUGACGGGGCUGAGCCAUGAUCAAACUCU